rnacentral:rRNA from 1 species
AGAGUUUGAUCCUGGCUCAGGACGAACGCUGACGGCGUGCUUUAGACAUGCAAGUCGAACGAGAAAGCCCUUCGGGGUGAGUACAGUGGCGAACGGGUGAGUAACACGUGGGCAAUCUGCCCCUCGCAGGGGGACAACCGGGGGAAACCCCGGCUAAUACCCCGUAAGCUUUCAGGGUCGCAUGGCCUUGAAAGGAAAGGUAGCUUCGGCCAUCCGGCGAGGGAUGAGCCCGCGGUGCAUUAGCUGGUUGGUGGGUAACGGCCCACCAAGGCGACGAUGCAUAGCUGGUCUGAGAGGAUGAUCAGCCACACUGGGACUGAGACACGGCCCAGACUCNUACGGGAGGCAGCAGUCGGGAAUCUUGCGCAAUGGGCGAAAGCCUGACGCAGCAACGCCGUGUGGGCGAGGAAGGCCUUCGGGUCGUAAAGCCCUGUUGUUGGGGACGAAGGGCGAAGGGUUAAUAGCCCCUAGCUUGACGGUACCCUUCGAGGAAGCCCCGGCUAACUACGUGCCAGCAGCCGCGGUAAUACGUAGGGGGCGAGCGUUGUCCGGAAUUAUUGGGCGUAAAGAGCGUGUAGGCGGUUCGGUAAGUCUGCCGUGAAAACCUGGGGCUCAACCCCGGGCGUGCGGUGGAUACUGCCGGGCUAGAGGGUGGUAGAGGCGAGUGGAAUUCCCGGUGUAGCGGUGAAAUGCGCAGAUAUCGGGAGGAACACCAGUAGCGAAGGCGGCUCGUUGGGCCAUACCUGACGUUGAGACGCGAACGCGUGGGGAGCGAACAGGAUUAGAUACCCCAGUAGUCCUAGCCGUAAACGAUGGAUACUAGGCGUAGCUUGUAUCGACCCAAGCUGUGCCGUAGCUAACGCGUUAAGUAUCCCGCCUGGGGAGUACGCGCGCAAGCGUGAAACUCAAAGGAAUUGACGGGGGCCCGCACAAGCGGUGGAGUAUGUGGUUUAAUUCGAUGCAACGCGAAGAACCUUACCAGGACUUGACAUGUCGCGAACCCUCUUGAAAGAGAGGGGUACCUUCGGGAGCGCGAACACAGGUGGUGCAUGGCUGUCGUCAGCUCGUGUCGUGAGAUGUUGGGUUAAGUCCCGCAACGAGCGCAACCCUCGUUUUUAGUUGCCAGCAUUAAGUUGGGCACUCUAGAGAGACUGCCGGUGACAAACCGGAGGAAGGUGGGGAUGACGUCAAGUCAGCAUGCCCCUUACGUUCUGGGCUACACACGUACUACAAUGCUACGGACAAAGGGCAGCAAGUUAGCGAUGACAAGCAAAUCCCAUAAACCGUGGCUCAGUUCAGAUUGCAGGCUGCAACUCGCCUGCAUGAAGGCGGAAUCGCUAGUAAUCGCAGGUCAGCAAUACUGCGGUGAAUACGUUCCCGGGCCUUGCACACACCGCCCGAA